rnacentral:lncRNA from 1 species
UGGCAGUUAUUUAAACAGAAGGCUCCAGGAGACAUACAAUCAACACUCCACUCAGACAAUGCCCAGACCUCCAGAAACCAUGUGUCAAGCUCGGAUUGCCUUAGACAGCUCACCCAGCUGGAACUCUUAUGGGACCUUGGCACCAGAGACCACAAAUUCCUCUUUGAAGUUUUCUAACAGCAACAAUGGUAUUUCUGACUUGGCUUUCUUGUAUUUCUCUCACGUUAACAAAAUUGGUUCAGCAUCUACCAUGGGCUACAUGCUGAGCUACAGAGUGAGACUCUGUCUCAAAAAAAAAGAAAAAAUAAAUAAUCAAAUGUAAAGUUAGCACAUAAAGGAGGCAUGUACAUAUUAUUAAAAUCUAUAUGACUACC